rnacentral:rRNA from 1 species
CCUACGGGAGGCAGCAGUGGGGAAUAUUGGACAAUGGGCGAAAGCCUGAUCCAGCAAUGCCGCGUGAGUGAUGAAGGCCUUAGGGUUGUAAAGCUCUUUUACCCGGGAUGAUAAUGACAGUACCGGGAGAAUAAGCUCCGGCUAACUCCGUGCCAGCAGCCGCGGUAAUACGGAGGGAGCUAGCGUUGUUCGGAAUUACUGGGCGUAAAGCGUACGUAGGCGACUAUUCAAGUCAGAGGUGAAAGCCCGGGGCUCAACCCCGGAACUGCCUUUGAAACUAGGUAGCUAGAGUCUUGGAGAGGUUAGUGGAAUUCCGAGUGUAGAGGUGAAAUUCGUAGAUAUUCGGAAGAACACCAGUGGCGAAGGCGACUAACUGGACAAGUACUGACGCUGAGGUACGAAAGCGUGGGGAGCAAACAGGAUUAGAUACCCUGGUAGUCCACGCCGUAAACGAUGAUAACUAGCUGUCCGGGCACUUGGUGCUUGGGUGGCGCAGCUACGACAUUAAGUUAUCCGUCCGUCGGGUAGGUACGGUCGUCGAGAAGUUAAACUAACAAACGGAAGUUAGUACGGACGUAGAGACGUAGACCGAACGGACGACGACGAGGGAGUAGG